rnacentral:rRNA from 1 species
UACAGGGGGGGCAAGCGUUGUUCGGAAUUACUGGGCGUAAAGGGCGCGUAGGCGGCAAGGCAAGUCAGGUGUGAAAGCCCCGAGCUUAACUCGGGAAUUGCAUCUGAAACUGCUGUGCUUGAGUUCUGGAGGGGGUAGUGGAAUUCCCAGUGUAGCGGUGAAAUGCGUAGAUAUUGGGAGGAACACCUGCGGCGAAGGCGGCUACCUGGACAGAAACUGACGCUGAGGCGCGAAAGCUAGGGGAGCGAACGGG